UCCAGACUCCUACGGGAGGCAGCAGUGGGGGAUAUUGCACAAUGGGGGAAACCCUGAUGCAGCAACGCCGCGUGAGUGAUGACGGCCUUCGGGUUGUAAAGCUCUGUCUUCAGGGACGAUAAUGACGGUACCUGAGGAGGAAGCCCCGGCUAACUACGUGCCAGCAGCCGCGGUAAUACGUAGGGGGCAAGCGUUAUCCGGAUUUACUGGGUGUAAAGGGAGCGUAGACGGAAAGGCAAGUCAGAAGUGAAAGCCCAAGGCUCAACCAUGGGACUGCUUUUGAAACUGUCAAACUAGAGUACGGGAGAGGUAAGAGGAAUUCCUAGUGUAGCGGUGAAAUGCGUAGAUAUUAGGAGGAACACCAGUGGCGAAGGCGUCUUACUGGACCGAAACUGACGUUGAGGCUCGAAAGCGUGGGGAGCAAACAGGAUUAGAUACCCCAGUA
rnacentral:rRNA from 1 species